UUCGUAGGCGGUGCGGCAAGUCGGAAGUGAAAUCUCCAGGCUCAACUUGGAGGCUGCUCCCGAAACUGCCGCGCUAGAGUGCGGGAGAGGCCAGUGGAAUUGCAGGUGUAGCGGUGAAAUGCGUAGAUAUCUGCAGGAACACCCGUGGCGAAGGCGGCUGGCUGGACCGCAACUGACGCUGAGGAACAAAGCUAGGGAGCAAACA
rnacentral:rRNA from 1 species